AUGUUCAUCCCGCUUCCUAGCGAAUCAGAGAAUGGGGCCCCGGCCCCGGCCCAGGACGCGGCGCCUCAAGAGAGCGCGGAGCAGGGCGCGAACCAGGGGCAGCGCCGCCAGGAGCCUCUCGCUGACCAGCUGCACUCGGGGAUUUCGGGACGUCCCGCGGCCGGCACCGCGGCCGCCAGCGCCAACGGCGCGGCGAUCAAGAAGCUGUCCGGGCCUCUGAUCUCCGAUUUCUUUGCCAAGCGCAAGAGAUCAGCGCCUGAGAAGUCGUCGGGCGAUGUCCCCGCGCCGUGUCCCUCUCCCAGCGCUGCCCCUGGAGUGGGUUUGGUGGAGCAGACCCCGCGCAAGAGGCUGCGGUGAGCGAAUUUAGAGCCCAAAGAGCCCCGAGGGAACCUGCCGCGGCAGCGGACGUUGGAAGGGCGCUGGGCCUCGGCUGGGACCGUUCAUGUAGCAGCAACCGGCGGCGGCUGCCGCAGAGCAGCGUUCGGUUUUGUGUUUAAAUUUUGAAAACUGUGCAAUGUAUUAAUAACGUCUUUUUAUAUCUAAAUGUAUUCUGCACGAGAAGGUACACUGGUCCCAAGGUGUAAAGCUUUAAGAGUCAUUUAUAUAAAAUGUUUAAUCUCUGCUGAAACUCAGUGCAAAAAAAAAGAAAAAAGAAAAAA